rnacentral:rRNA from 1 species
AUGAACCUUGUGACAUACUACUCUGAAGAGCUGGGUGGAGCAAAUGGGCCUGAGAAUGAAACGCGGGUUAGUUUUGAUGCUAUCCUGUGGACGCAAGGACAUACCCAACCCUCAGUGUGCGGUGAUAUUGUUGCUGGUCUUUGUGUGCUGAUUUUGUUUGCUAUACAUACGGCUAGGCCAUUCAAUUUAUUGUUUACAUGGGUGGAUAGGAAUUUGGGACACUCCAUUCCAUCUUGCCUGCGCCGUUCUGCUCCACUGGUUAUGCUUGGAAGGUUUCCGUUACUCCCGGUGUCCAGUUCUUGCAUCGGCUGUGCAAUACAUCCCAUUGUAAUUGUAUAA